CCUAAUUUUCGGACAUAUCUCAUAAUAAUUCAAACUCAUCACACAUUACACGUAACACAAGAUAGGCAUGGGGAACACAAUAAUAGGUGUGGGGGACACACGAAUUGGGGGGGAGAAUAAUUCAUGGACAAAAAUGUGAGGACUUCAGAUUUUUUGGACACAUUUUCGAACACUACACCUUAGAAAAAAUAUACUAUCAUACAUCUUCUUGAUUUUUUUUUAAAAACCAAACGAAACCCUAAUGAAAACGAAAGGUCCUUCACGUUCAAAACCUCCUGCCUCACGCCAAACGACCAACCGCACUGCCCGUGACAUUCUUGUCGACCAGCCAUAGCAGCGAACACCGCCUGAACAGCCACCCUGCUAGCCAUUCUCGUCAAUCUCUAACCCGUCGUCCCUCACCCCAGCUGACCUCCCGUUUACACCCAAACAAACAGAGGCGGAUCCAAGAUUUAAAUUCUAUGGGUUCAAAUCUACUAUUUUUGCAAUUUUAAUAAAUUUUUACAUAUAAAUUUCUAUUCCGCGUCGAAAGCUAUGGGUUCAAUUGAACCCGUACCUUUCAAGCUAGAUCCUCCUGUGCAGUCAAACCCUCCAGUUGAAACCACGCCAAAUAGCCCUGCACCACGAUGAGCAGCAGUGAAACCACCAACCCCGCCUGCUUCCAACUACUGCUGCUUCCCCGCCGUCCUACUGCCUGAACUCCACGUCGAACCACUUGUUGUUUCUCCCAGUUUGUCGAGGUUCCGCGUCGAGUCGUUGUUCGUGGUUCCGGUCUGGUUCGAGAUCUGUACGGAGAGGUCAAAGUUUGAGAUCUUCAGAAAAGGUUCAUUUUCUCGUUGUAUACGUUGAAAAUACGCAGAAAUAAAGGUGCUUCUUUCCCGAUAUUGUUCUUCUCGCUAAUGUUUUGGAUCGUUUCGUAUUUGAUUUAGUUUUGUAUGGUUCAGACAAUUUUUGUAAAUAUAUGAUUAUAUUUAGUUUUGUAUGAUUCAGACGAUUUUUGUAAAUAUAUGAUUAUGUUGAAUAUGUGAUUUCACAAUUAAUGGUGGCCUUGUAAUGUUGAAAUUAGCUAAUAAAAUAACUAAUCUUUCAAAUGCUCGCCAAUUAGUUAUGAUUUCGUUGUUUAUGUAAUUGUUCGUCCUAGUCUUGAAUUUGCUCACUUAGUCAUCUACCUGUAUGUUUAUCUGAAUUGGUUAUAGCUGGAUACAAUAUUGUUGUAAUAUAGAUAUUUGGCCAGCUGUGGGUUUUAAGUUAGAUGGCGGAUUCAAAUUAAAAGAGGCUUCCUUUUGUUUGAGUCUAGACUUGAACUUGAAACCCGAAUUUUAUAAAACCAAUUUGGGCUCUUUCUUUUAUUAAUAGGGACAAAUAAAAAUAAAAAAUCAUAGUUUACUUUAGGAUUGCCCUUUUAAAUAAUAAAAUGAGACGAGCCUCGCCAAUAAAACGCACAAUUGCAGGGCCCUUAUAAAUGUAUAUCUUAAAAAUACUUAAACUGCGGGACAUGCCAUUUAGCGAAUUUCACGGCAUUCUCAAAAUAAUAAUGCGUUAUUAUCUUUAGGCGCGUAUUUAAUAAUGUUAUCUCCCUAAACUCGGGUGCACAUUUAUGUGACCCAAAUCCAAAUCUCAACGAAGUCGAGAUGUGUGAACAACCAUGGGUGCAUUGAUGUGACAUGGUUCGAGACGAAUUUUCACGACGUUGCAAUUGUCUCUUAAAAUAAUAACACCACUUAACAUUAACUGUUGCUUUAAUUUUAACUUUUGCUAUAACUUUAACUUUUGCUUUAACUUUAACUUUUGAUUUUGCUUUAACUUUUGUUUUUUCUUUAACUUUUACUUUUUUUCUUUCUCUUUAUGCUUUAACUUUUGCUUUCGGUUCUACCUUUAGUUUAAACAAAUGAUUUUUCUUUGAAGUAUUUUCAAGUUUGUUUUCAGAUGAGCCUCAUCAAAUAAAAGGUACAAACUGCAGGGCCCUUAUAAAUGUAUAUUUUAAUUACUUAGACUUCGGGAUGGCUCGUUUACCGAAUUUCACGGCCUUAUCCAAAAUGAUGAUACGCUAGUCGCUUUAGGCGCAUCUUUAAUAAAUUACUUUCUUAAAUUCGGGUGCACAUUUAUGUGACCUAAAUCCAAAUCUCAAUAGAGUCGAAAUGUGUCGAUAACCAUGGGUACAUUGACUGUGACGGGGUUCGAGAUACGUUUUCAAACGUUACAAUUCUUUGUUAAAAUAAUAAUAAUAAUAAUAAUAAUAAUAAUAAUAAUAAUAAUAAUAAUAAUAAUAAUAAAAGCGGUAAAAGGUUAAAACUUGCAUAUAAGCUCAUAGUUGUUAAAUCAGAUAAAUAAGCUAAAUACGACAGUUGAACGACUGUGCUAGAACCACGGAACAAAGUUGAAAUUUUCACAUAAUUCAUAAUGUAAUAAAAAUCAGAUAAUUAAGCCGAAAUAAGAGUUGAGCGACCGUGCUAGAACCACGGAACUCGGGAAUGCCUAACACCUUCUCCGAGGUUAACAGAAUUCCUUAUCUGGAUUUCUGGUUCGUGGACUGUAAUAUAGAGUCAAUCUUUUCCUCGAUUCGGGAUUCAAUCGGUGACUUGGGACACCAUAAAUUAAUGUGAUCUUCUUUGACCACUGAAAAAAGGGGACUGUGGGGUUCGUGUUGACUACUUUUUGUUUAAUUAAAAUCAGAAAUAGUAAAGGUAAUAAUAAAGGGUUAAAAAAUUACAUAGUUAGAAGAACUCUGAAUAUUUAAUAAUAAUCCUAUUUCGAUUGUCCUUUAAUUGAAAAAACGCUCUUGUACCCCCGCGGGGCGGAAAAAUGAGGUGUGACAGCUGUGGUGACUCUGCUGGGGAUUGAACCAAGAAUCUCUGGUUCAGGGUUCAGAAUUCGAGCUUAGAUGAAUUGUUAUAUUUGGCUUUACCUGAUUUUCCAACAUGUUUCAUACUAAAUGUGCUAAAUGUUUUACCGCUUUGAUGUUAUCUGAACUGUAUAUAAACUGUGCCGACACCCUUCUCUUCUCACCUCUGGGGUUGUGCUUACUAGUUGAGACUCCCUAUUUCGUUAGUAUCAUACCUUAAAAUAAUAAAGAGGCACGGAAAGUUUCUAUGCAGGCUGGCCUUUUGGUUCCCGGAAAGGAGCUCCUUCCUCGACUCGAGUCGUCCGCUCGGGUACACAGUCAAGAACACAUACCCAGGUUUUGAACCUAGAAAAACGUGACUUCAUGCCGGAUCCCUAGUGGGAACGCUUAUUUUUAUCAUGUUGCAUCUGACUUAGGGGACUCAACACAGGGGUUGGGUCCGUCUAGGACUAGCAACCUGAAAUGAAAAGACCAUCCUGAUGCUUCCUAUUUGUUUUCCGUGCAUUUAUUUGUCUCGGGCCCGCAUGCUGACCAUUUUUGAAUAUCUGGAGUAUUGUAAAAUUGAGGGGAAAAAAGAGAGAGUGGUUACGGAGUUAAAUGAUUAUUUUAGAAAAACCCAAUGUCCAAAUGCUGUCGAAACUCUGCCGAAAUGUUUUAUUAGUUUUAUUAAAAAGCAAAGGAAACAUAGAAAAAAAGAGUCUUUAUUUUUAGCUUGAAAAAUAGGUUGAUUUAUUAUUUGUUGAAAAAUAAAAAGAGUCAUUGUUUUUAGUUUGGUAAAAAUAAGUUGUUUUAGUUUUUGUUGAAAAUGAAAAGGAAAAAAACUGAGUCAUUAUUUUGUCUUGUUUUCAAAAUAUAGAAAAGGAAAAUAGUUUAUUUUGCCAUGAAAAAUGAAAAUGAAAAAGUGUCUUGUUUUUUUAUGAAAUGCCAAAAGUGAAAAUGAAAAGAGUCGUGCUUUGAAAGUGGUUUUGUCGUUUGUUGCCAAAAAUGAAAAUAAAAAAGAUUUUUGUUUUAUAAUAGUUCAAUUAGUUACCCGAACUACGCUGGUUUUAUUCUCACCGGGUGUGAGAUACGUAGGAAACCCUCAUCGGGUCCAACCUCCCCUUUGCUAAAAAUAGCCAAACAAAAUAUAAUUUUAAUCUUCGUCAUAAAUAAGUCGGAUGAUACGGCUUUUGUCAAAUAUAGCCGAAUGUUCCCGAAAGGGACGCCAGAAGGCUAACUUUGCAUAAACGACCACCGUUGGUUAAUUUUUUGAGAUUUUUAGGUGGUUGACCCAUACAACCAUAAACUCUUCGUCCCUGAGGCGCUGAAAGACCACGUUUGCAUUCUUUUAUUUUAAUUUGAGAAAAAAAAAGAGGCGGUAAGCAAGUGAAUGUCUUUUGGAUUACUGGGUCAAAAUAAGCCGAGCCAACUUCGGCAAUGUCUUAAAUCGUUCUUCCCGAGAUAGCCUUAGAGUAUCUUUCAGUUGCCGAAAGGUUGUUUUCGUAAAAGAAUUGACAAGUCUGUACAAUGUCAUGAAAUAAUCCUUCCCGGCCUCAAAAUUCAUGUGAAAUUGGGAAGGGGCCACGUUUGCAAAAAUAGCCUUUUGGUUGAAAUUGGCAAAUAGGGAAAGGGAGCUGGUCGUUUGUUGUUGGUUGAAAUUCUUUUAAUUAGAGUAUGCGGGUUGUUUGAUUUUCAAGUCUGUAAGUAUUCUUUUCGUCAAAGUUUGUUAGUAUGGUCAGUUUUUAAAACUUUUUAAUCAAGUUUGUUUUAUUGUGAAAAUUGAAAAUUCCAAAAAAAAUGUGUUUCAUUGUUAUUGACCUUUUAUUUGCGGGAACUACGCAUGGUCUGAUUCAUGUGGAGUCAUGAUACGUAGGCAAUCUCCAUAAGAUUCAACCACACACACAAAAAAUGAAGAAAAAUGAUAAAAAUUAAAAAAAAUCGAAAAAUAGAAGAAGAAGAAAAAAAAAAAGAUGUUGAGGACCGACUGAGUCCAUUCUAACAUGUUUUAUUUUGAAUCGCAAAGAAAAUUAAGGUGGUUGGUUUGUGGUUUUAAAGUGGCAACCCCUCAUGAUGCUGACACUAAGGCCCACAUGCUGCUAAGCUUUCUGUGCUAUGAGAGGUUGAUUUUGAGAACGGGUCGACAAAAGGAACCCAAAAGCAAUUUGUUAAGAAUGAGGCGAUGAAGACUCAUAAAGUCUUUAGUACUGGUGAUGCAGAAUUCAGUGGCUAAGAUGUAAUGCUUGGUAAUUGGAAAGACGCUCCAUUUUUGAGCCAUCUCGAGAUGAGUUUUCGGUGGCUUAGGUUGUUGUCAUUUCUGUUGUCCGGGAUAUUUCAGGGUUGUAAUCCGGAUACUGUCUUGUGGUCAAACCCUCUUAUACUUUCAGUUGUCUAGUACCUAAUGUGGUGUUAUCUAGGUUUAUUUUAGGGUUGUAACUGUUUUAUUUUGUUGUUUAAACAGUUUCGCCAUUUGUCUAAAUGCAAAUUCCGGUCUUUUAUUAUCUCCAAUCUACUUCUUUAUUUAGUUUUCUUUACCCUUCUGCUUUGCUUUUGUUCAAACACCGAUUCAAGUAACAUGUCAUGCGCACACAGUUUGGGCCUAAUUUUAAAGUUAACCAUAAAGCCAUUGGGAGAUGAUUGGGACACUUGGAAAAGUAAGAACGAUUUAAGAUCACUUGAAGCCCGAACCGCGUGAAACUGGGCAAGUAAAACAUAAAGAAACCAUAAGAGCAAGUUGUCCAUAUUGACAAGGGGCCCGUUCGUGAUAAUGAAAGUGAGAGUGUUGCCCAACCGUGCUUUUAAAAAUGACAAAUGAAAAGGCAAAUGUGUGGAUAUAGUUAUCGAUUCUGGCACAAUCAUAAGAUGUUGCGAAUGUUUAAUUGUGUUGUUUGCACUUAGAAUGUUUGAAGAUUGGAAUGACGAAGGCAUUAGAUUCUGCUAUCUAAACACAUUAUCCUUCGUUACCCCUUUUGAGCCUUAUUUAUUUUUCUUUCAUACUCCUCUUUCGGAAUCAGUAGCAAAGAUUAGGAACAUAAACAUAGAGGAAAAAGAAAAGAAAAAAAGAAAAGGAAAACAAGAAAAACAACUAAAAAUGAAAAAGAGAUAAAGAAAAGAAAAAGAAAGGAAAAAUAAUGAGUGAAAAGGAAAACUAUAACAAUAAGGAAUUGGGAACUACAUUUGACCUGAUUCCUCAAAGAGGAUAUGUAGGCGCUUCACAGCUCGGUCAUAGUGUAAUAAAAAUCAAAAAAUCCCCAAGCAAGAAACAGGAACAAAGGUUGUGUUUGUUGUAAAUAAAUCUAGUUCCGAAGGUUGUAAUUUAACCCAAGAUUGAUGCUUUUUUGAGGCUUUAAUACCCUUUCUUUCUAGCCUAUCCAAAUCUCAUAUUACGGUCCAAAGAAAUACCUUUUGAUCAGUCUUCAAAAGAUACCAAGUUAGACAAAUGAGAGAGUCUUACCGGUGAACAUAACACGCUGAUCCCAGCCGAAAAGACUCUGAUCCCCUGCAGAAACGAAAUAAGUCUUAUGGGGAACACCCCAAUCCCCAACUGAAAAGGUAUUACAAAUGAGAGAGUCUUAGCGGUGAAAACCUUCAUAGGCACCAUAAGGCGAUGAAAGCUGAGAGAAAAAUCAAAAUGAGUGAGACUUGACAGUGAAUAAUCUUCGGGCACUACAAGUCGAAUAAAUAUUUAGAAUCAUAUGGGAAAUCACCAAACGAAGAUCUUGAAAGACGAUUAACGAUGGAGGAUAGGCCACAUGUGCAUGUCAUGACCAUUAGAGUUGGUAUCCGCAUUUGAUAGGUUUUUAUUUUAUAGUUUCUCUUGUUAGAGAGUCAUCUUUUCCUUUUGUCUUUUAUUUUGUUCCUUUUAUCUUAGUCCUUUUAUCGAAAAAUUCCCCAACAGUAUGUUUGGUCAAACAAGUGAGAAAUGACUUCAAGAUCUGCCAUCACCUUUCCAAUUAUCCAAGACGAGAUCUUAUUGGUACGUCCAAGUGGUAUAAGUCAUGAAGGAAUAAGCGCGAGGCCACUCGCUCGGAUGUAAGACUCCCGCCGCUGACAGAUGUCCAAUGCCACCUUUCAUGAACAGCUAUGUCCGAGAAUGAAUUGUGAUAUAGCACCGAAUAAGCCACUACUCUAUUCCCGACUCGAAAUCCAUAAAGAACUUUAAGGGAGAUAAAAUAGGGGGCCCUAUACCAUACAUCCUGCUGCCUUGGGACGACUGCAUGUUACAUCAUAGCAGCACGACCAAAUGGAUGUGGAAAGCCCUUGUAUAGGUUGGGCGCUAGCUAGAGCCUUCAUACACUAAUAUAAAAUGUUGGGCCUUCCCCUUAUUUAUUAGUAUUAGGCAAGUUGCUCGAGGACUUCUACUGGGAAUGAAAGUUCCCUAUUAUAGGAUCCCUAGUAAAGCCAAUUUAAUGAUGGCCGCUUAUCUGAGUAAGAAGACGAUGGCUCCUAUUAUUGGUGAGCGAUCUCCUCUACACGUUAUCUUUGGGCGUUUUACUCUCUUUCAAAGAGAUGACUAUUCAAACCUCAGAGUAUUCGGAUGCACGUGCUUUGUUAAAAUGCCAUCUCCUGCACAAGACAAACUGAGAUACACUAAUAUAAAAUGUUGGGCCUUCCCCUUAUUUAUUAGUAUUAGGCAAGUUGCUCGAGGACUUCUACUGGGAAUAAAAGCGAAGGGUCCAAAGGACACGUAGCCGGGGGAAGAAUUUUGAGAAAACCCGACAUAAGACUCGGUUUCAAGAAGGAUAUCCCCAGCAAGAGAAGAUUGUCAAAGGGAUGGGACAGCGCCAAGAGGGAUAUCCCCGUAGAAAUCAAAUAUUAUGGACCUCAAGGCCAAGGCCAGUGGAAAAAUCAAGAAAGAACAAUGCGGAGAGCGAUGGGCAUGAUUUGGGAAAUUUAUAUGAGACUCAAAGGUCAGGGAAAUGACAGCUCCCAAGCUAUGCCACAAAAGAAGAGGAAUAUACCCAGCAUAAAAGGUAUCUUCAGUGACACGGAUGAACAAAGAAAGUGGUUUAUCAGCAAAACAUGGCAGAAUCUUCAACUGGAAUCAAUUGUCAUGGAAAAGAUGCGGGGUCAGAUAAGAGGAUAAAGGUGGAAAACAACAGUUGAGAGGUUGGUAAAUAAGGAAUUGACAAAAAGGUCCGAAGUUUCAAGAUGGUCGGACGACACAAAGCAGAGCAAGUCGUUCUAAGACCACAAAAGAAUAUCAUCCCCAGCAAGUUUUGAUAGUGUGAUGGAACGCAUAGCAGGGAAGGAGAAACGGAAAAACCAUCCCCAGCAGGAAUGACAAAACCACUCACCACGUUUUAAACUGAUAAGUUUUCUUUGAUUCGAAGCAGGUAAAGGAAAUGGCAUCGAUGGCAGAAAGGCAUGCCAUAAGGAAGAUUAUCAAACUGGGGCAAAAAAUUUUCCUUUCAUUUUGAAAAUUUUCUGGAAGUCUCGUACCCAAUUAGGGAAGUAGAAAGAUAACACCAGUCUCAAGGGAAGUGGUCUUUGAACCAGUGUUACCCCCAGCAUUAGAAGUUUUAAUGAAGGAAGUUGUAUCCCCAACGUACAAAACAAAAGGAUAAAACUUGUGUUCAGAAAAAGCAAAAGGCCACUGUCAUCCCCAGCAGCCUUCAGAAGAGUGAAGCACUAGUUUUGAAGGAAUGAAAAUUUCCCAGCAAUGUUAUCCUCAACAGCAUUAUACCCAGCUGAUAACAUUUUUAUCCCAGCAGAUUAGUAAAUAAUUCCCUAGCAGUGUUAUCCCCAACAGUUUCGAGGGAAGACAACACGAGUUAUUAAGGAAAGUAUCUCUGUAAGAAGGUAAUUCAGGAAGAAGGAAAUGGUUCAUGCAUGGGAGAAGCACUUCCUAAAUUAAGAUUUUAUUCAUAGUAGAUGCACUUCCUAGUUUAAAUCAUUGAGAUUUUACCUUUAGGAGACGCACUUCCUAAGUUUAUUUUUACCCCUAAGAGACGCACUUCUUAAGUUUAUUUACCCAUAGGAGAUGCACUUCCUAAGUUUAUUUUCAUCCAUAGGAGACGCACUUCCUAAAUUAAGAUUUCAUUCAUAGGAGACGCACUUCCUAUUUUAAAAUCAUUAAGAUUACACCCCUAGGAGACACGCUUCCUAAGUUUAUUUUUACCCAUAGGAGACGCACUUCCUAAGUUUAUUUUUACUCAUAGGAGAUGCACUUCCUAAGUUUAUUUUCACUUAUAAGAGACGCACUUCCUAAAUUAAAAUUUCAGUUAUAGGAGACGCGCUUCCUAAAUUAAGAUUUCAUUCAUAGGAGACGCACUUCCUAGUUUAAAACCAUUAAAAUUUCACCCAUAUGAGACGCACUUCCUAAGUUUAUUGUUACCCCUAGGAGACGCACUUCCUAAGUUUAUUUUUCACCCAUAGGAGACGCAUUUCCUAAUUUUAUUUUUACCCAUAGGAGAUGCACUUCCUAAGUUUACUUUCAUGCAUAGGAGACGCACUUCCUAAAUUAAGUUCAUUCAUAGGAGACGCACUUCCUAGUUUAAAAUUAUUAAAGUUUUACCCAUAUGAGACUCACUUCCUAAGUUUAUUUGUACCCCUAGGAGACGCACUUCAUAAGUUUAUUUUUACCCAUAGGAGAUGCACUUCCUAAGUUUAUUUUCACCCAUAGACGCACUUCCUAUGUUUAUUUUUACCCCUAGGAGACGCACUUUCUAAGUUUAUUUUUACCCAUAGGAGACGCACUUCUUAAAUUAAUAGUUCAUAGGAGACGCACUUUCUAGUUUAAGUCAUUGAAGUUUCAUUAAUAGGAGACACACUUCCUAAAUCAAUAAUUCAGUCAUAGGAGAUGCACUUCCUAGUUGAGUCAUUGAAGUUUUACCCAUAAGAGAUGCACUUCCUAAAUUUAAAUUCACCCCUAGGAGACGCACUUCCUAGUCUUUUUUUAGGUUAUAUUUUAUUUUAGGAAACGCACUUCCUGAAUUGAGAUUUCAUCCCUAGCAAACACACUUCCUAGUUUAGGUCAUUCAAGUUCAACCAUAGGAGACACACUUCCAAGUCUAUUUCACUGAAGUUUUACUUGUAGGACUGGCACUUCCUAAUCAAAGUCUUUCAAGUUAUUCUUUUAGGAGACACACUUCCUGAAUUGAGAGUUCAUUCGUAGGAGACAUACUUCCUAGUUUUAGUCACUGAAAUUUUCACCCCGAGAAGACACACUUCCUAGUAUUGGUCAUUUAAAUUCAUCUUUAGAAGACGCACUCCCUAGGUUUGGUUCAUUCAGGUUUUAUGUUAGCAGACGCAUCUGCUAGUCAGAGUUUUUUUUUUGUUUUACUCGUAGGAGACGCACAUCUUAAUCUAGUCUUUAGUUUACCUUCAUCAUUGCAUCAAUAGUAUAAGCGGUUUACAAUUUUGCUAACGACUCACGAAUCUUCCUAGUGCAAACUGGGGCCAGAAAUUUUAUUUGUUUUGUUUGUUUUGGUUGUAGGAUCACGUCCGAAGAGCGGAGGGCUACAACAAAAAAUCCCAUCAUUCAAUCCAAGUUAUAAGUAGCAGUAGCUCGCCUCAAGAAUGCGGGUCAAGAGCCCGAGAUGAUCAACAAAAGUCAGUCACAAUAAAGAAAAUGAAAAAAAAAGAAAAGAAUAAAAAUGUGAAUUCAAAGUGUAGAAGUGGAGAAGAUGUAGCCUGCUCAAGACAUAAUUGAGAUCACUCGCACUGCAUGUCCCGUCUUAAUUUUGAAAAGCUGAAGAAGAUUGAAUCAAUACUUCCAGCUAACAAGUAUCAAGAUUCAAAUCAGAGUCCGCAUGAAGCAUCAUUCAAUACUCAAGACCAAGUUUCAGAAGACUCAUAGAUAAGAAUUUUGUAACAAAUAGCUAAUAGGCUUAGUUAGUCUUUUUCAUUUUUGAUUUUGAUGUAAUAGCAGGACCACGAACCGGAACCUUGACGGAACGGCACCUCGAUCGGCUCUUCACUUUGGUACACUCCUCAUCUCACUCACUUCUGAACUACACGUGUCCUGAUUCCUUUAUAGCCAAGGAUAUAUAGGCAGCUCAGAUACCAGGGCUCGGUCAGAUUCUAUUCCUUUCCUUUAAGUUUAGUCUAUCCAAAUAAGGGUCGGGUCUAAAAACAUGUCUAGUCGUUCUUUUUCUGAAAACUCUUCGUAUUUCCAAUCAAAGAGGGGCAGCUGUAGAUAUGUGAUUUUUGACCCUCGUAGAGAUUUUUUUAUAUCUUAGCAUAUAAGUAUUUAAUUUAGAGAUAAUAUUGAUAUUUUAGCUAGUUUUGACCCUUUUACUUUAUUUUGCUAAUUUUGGCUCUUUUACUUUAUUUCGUUACAAAAAGAAAAAUUACAAAAAAAAGGUAUAUAAAGUUUAGUUUAUGUAUUUCUCAUAAACUUGAAAAAUACAAAAAUAACAUAUUAUUUUAAUUUUUGUAUAAUUUCGAAAAUACAAAAAAAAAAUAUAUAGUUUCAUUAAUAUUUUGUAGUUAUUUUAAACUUAAGAAAUACAAAAUAUAGUAUUUUAUAUUUUACCUUUAUAUAAAAACGAAAAAAUUGCAAAAGAUAAUUUUAUUUUAUAGUUAUUUUAAAUCUUGAAAAAUAUCAAAAAUAGUUUUGUUUUAAUUGUUAGUCUUAUUUUGAUAGUUAUUUUGCUUACGUAGAAUUAAUUAAAUAAGAUCGUGUUUUAGUCUCGGUUCUGAGCAAAGAAUAAUAUUUGGGUUCAAACUACCCAGCCUAAUUUUCGGACAUAUUACAUAAUUAUUCAAACUCACCACACAUUACACGUAACACAAGAUAGGCGUGGGGAACACAAUAAUAGGUGUGGGGGACACACGAAUUGGGGGGGAGAAUAAUACAUGGACAAAAAUGUGAGGACUUCAGAUUUUUUGGACACAUUUUCGAACACUACACCUUAGAAAAAAUAUACUAUCAUCUUCUUGAUUUUUUUUUAAAAACCAAACGAAACCCUACUGAAAAUGAAAGGGCCUUCACGUUCAAAACCUCCUGCCUCACGCCAAACGACCAACCCCACUGCCCGUGACAUUCACGUCGACCAGCCAUAGCAACGAACACCACCUGAACAGCCACCCCGCCUGCCAUUCUCGUCAAUCUCUAACCCGUCGUCCCUCUACCCAGCUGACCUCCCGUUUACACCCAAACAAACAGAGGCGGAUCCAAGAUUUAAAUUCUAUGGGUUCAAAUCUAUUAUUUUGCAAUUUUAAUAAAUUUUACAUAUAAAUUUCUACUCCGCGUCGAAAGUUAUGGGUUCAAUUGAACCCGUACCUUUCAAGCUGGAUCUGCCUCUGCAAUCAAACCCUCCAGUUGAAACCACGCCAAAUAGCCCAGCACCACGACGAGCGGCAGCGAAACCACCAACCCCGCCUGCUUCCAACUGCUGUUGCUUCCCCACCUUCCUACUGCCUGAACACCACGUCGAACCACCUACUGUUUCUCCGAGUUUGUCGAGGUUCCGCGUCGAGUCGUUGUUCGUAGUUUCGGUCUGGUUCGAGUUCUGUAUGGAGAGGUCGAAGUUUGAGAUUGUCAUAAAAGGUUCGUUUUCUUGUUGUAUACACUGAAAAUAUGCAGAAAUAAAGGUGCAUUUUCUUUUCUGAUAUUGUUCUUCUCGCUAAUGUUUUGGAUCGUUUCGAAUUUGAUUUAGUUUUGUAUGAUUCAGAAGAUUUUUGUAAAUAUAUGAUUAUGUUGAAUUUGUGAUUUCAAAAUUAAUGGUGGCCUUGUAGUGUCGAAAUUAGCUAAUAAAAUAACUAAUCUUUCAAAUGCUCGCCAAUUAGUUAUGAUUCCGUUGUAUAUGUAAUUGUUCGCCGUAGUCUUGAAUUUUCUUACUUAGUUAUCUACCCGUAUGUUUACCCGAAUUGGUUAUAGUUGGACACGAUGUUGUCGUAAUAUAGAUAUUUGUCCAGCUUUGGGUUUUAAUUAGAUGGCGGAUCCAAA
rnacentral:lncRNA from 1 species